GGCGCUCCCGUGCUCCGCCACUUCUCCAGAUGACAAAGCCAAACGGGCUCCUCUGCCAAGGGGAGCUGCUUGGAAUGGGAUUAGGAUGAGCAGAAAGGAGCUUACAGCUGGGCACCAUCUGCGGUGACGAUGAUUAACUAAUGAGGUCUUAAAGUUGUUUUUUCUCUGGUUCCCCGUGCAGGUUUGGUGAUGGAGUUUUGGUGAUGGAUGCAUCUCUGUGAACAGCGUGGUCUGCUGCUCACCCAGCCUGACCCAGUGCCCCCUCCUCCUCUGUCCACAUGUAUCCCAGCCAAGAGCUGGAGCACAGGGAAAAGCUGGUGGCAAAGGCUUUCUUGCCUUCUCUGAUCACCAAGCCCAUGUUUUAAGUCUAUAGUCUCUGAUAUGCAAUAAUUAAAUCAGAUUAAAUCAAUGCAAAAGCCUCUCCCAACCUGAAAAACUCCCAUGGAUGGCAAAAAGAAAAAUUCAGUACCCAAGAAAAAGUUUCAGAUAUUUCUUCAGGGACCCUUAAAUUGUAUUAUAAGUUAUAAGGAAUGGCAAAAAUCACAGCCCCAGAGAGGUGAGGGACAAGACAGACACCCCUGGAAUCCUUCCUUUAGAAGGAGUGGAACCAUUUUCCAGACCCUGUUGACCACGCCUCAUCCAGGAGGAACAUCAUCAUAUGCAAAACACAUGCAGUAGAAACAUAAUCAGUUCAGUGUUUGAGUUUAUUCGAUGAAUCCCAUAAUCCUAAAUGAGGUGUGGCUGUAAAUAAGAAGCCCCAGAAAUUCUUACCUACAUGCAGGUGCUUCUGUUUCUUCCAGGGUGAAACAGGGAAAGCUCAGCCAGCUCUGAAUUACCCCUGCAAGUGACUCUUGCCUCACUGAUGACAGACCAGAGGCUGCUUGCAAUUAUUCAAUAGUUGUAACCACAGAAAAAAUAUAAAAUUCUGCGUGACUGGCUCAAAAUAACAUCCCAAAAGAUAAAGCCACAAGAGCUGUGGUGCAAAAAGAUUCUCCCUUGCUGUGCUGCACUCCCACCUCCUUCCUCACCCCAUCCCCUCCAAGACUCAGUAAAGGGAACUGAUUUCAGCCAUGUGUGAGGAUUCCACACAUGCAGGCUGUAACUCUGGGCAGGUGUCAUGUUAAAUCUGCUGAGGGAUUGGUGCCUGUUUAUCAUCAGAACAGGGGGAAUCUCUCCAGCUUUACCCCAUGCAAUGGCUUCAUCACCUAAAGCCGCACAUGAUCAGCUUGACCUCACUCUGCUGUGGUUGACUGGGUUUUUUUCCAAAAGGAGAUUACACAGAGUUGCUCUGAGUGGGAUUUCCAGCACUUUUCUCCUCUGAGACUGUCUCAAUAAUUAAUUGUUUAUUAUAAUUAAUGUGCUUUGGCAGCCUCCCUGGACUAUUUUACCUGUAAAUCUCCAUGUAACUUCAAGGCAUUAAUGAAAGCAGACUCACCCACGAAGGUGGCUGAGGAGCUUUUAUUAAGUGUUAAGGGAGCAUGCAGGAGGGAAAAGGCAUUUUGGAAAAUGUGUUAGGCUUGGAAAAACUCCUGCUGGGGCCACUGCUCAAAUUCAAGGCUGAACCCCAGUAAAGUCUACAGGGGAGAGAAAGCACCAGGGUGGAUAACUAUUAACCCAGAUUCCAGCCUUUUUAAUAAAUUAAAGCUGUAGGUCCCA
ensembl:lncRNA